AAAAGGCAUACAAAUCCAAAGAAAAUCAAGUUAAAAUUUCAACAAGACCUUAAUUCCCAAAACUUUGUUGACCCAAAAAUAGUUGAUACCAAAGAUUAUAAAAAAUCUUCUUUACACCUUUUGAAGGAUCUUCAAGUGGACUUAGUAGACUUUGUAUACUCAGACUCAAAGUUCAAAAAUUCCAUAGAUGCCACUCGUUAAAAUCUAUACAUUUUAAUAAUCCAACUACCAAUAUUUGGAGGAAAUAUCAUGCUACUCGCUUAAAUUUAGCGUCAGCAAAAAAAGAAAGCCUCUCAAAAUAUAGGAAGGGUGCUAACUGCUCCAUCACGAUUGGAAACAAUUGAGCUAGAUGGGAAUUGUUUUUACCGAUGUAUAAGUAUAAAGAUAACAGGAAAACAAGACUCCUAUGGUUUGAUUAGAUCACAUAUGGUCUUGCUGAUGCUGCUAAAAGUAAUGAUAAAAAAUAUAUUAGAUUAUACUCAAGGUCAAAAUACGUGUGAAGAUGAUGUGCAACAGUAUAUAAUAGAAAAGGCAAGUAAGAAUGGUGAAUGGGCAUCGGAUAUUGAAUUGCGAAGUGUUGCCACACUUCUCAAUAUCCCGAUAUUGGUGUAUGCUAGGUAUGGAGCUUCAUUUUGCUGGCAAAUGUAUCCACCAUUUAAAUAUGAUGAUGGAAAUAUAAAAAAAUUUGACCAAAACAUUUAUAUUAACAAUUCUGAAUCCCAUUUUGUAAAUGUUAUUGAUUUUGAAGAUUAAUUACAUAUGUUGAUAUUUUAUAUUUUUUACCAAAAGUAUUUUAGUUGAUUGUAUUUGUCUUACUUUUAUGCAUAUUUUUUUUUAUUUAUCCUAUUUUAACAUAUUAUAAAUAGAUAUAUAGACUACAAAAAUAUCUUUUUUAAUCAUACCAUUUUUAUAUAAAUUUCAUUACAACACCAACACCAUA